UAGGGUUUUGUUGUUUCCAUUGUUCCUCUUCAUCAGAUAAUCCCUCAUUCGCAUUCUGUUUGGAGAAAACCUAGCCGCAGUCCAUGGAAUCAAGGUAUUCAUCUUCUUUUUGUAUUAAUCAGAUCAAGAAACUGAACAUUCGUGACCCAGAUCGCACUCUGUUUCCUCUUUCAACAAAUCGAUCAUCAAAUCGGAGCUUCAACUGUUCUCCAUGGAGCUCGAAAUGAUGAAAAAAAGAUUCGCAAAACUUUUAUUGGGAGAAGACAUGUCUGGCAGCGGCAAAGGAGUUUCUACUGUGGUUACUGUUUCUAAUGCCAUCACAAAUCUUUACGCUUCUAUGUUUGGCCAACAUCUAAAGUUAGAGCCGUUGCAUCUCGAGAAGAAGAUGAUGUGGAAACGGGAGAUGAACUGCUUACUCUCGGUUUACGAUUACAUCGUUGAAUUUAUCCCAUGUCACACAGUUUACAGAACAGAACAGAAAAGCCAUGGAGGUGAUGUCUAGCCGACGAAGGUUGGAUAUUUAUAUCAACCUUCCAGCGUUAAAGAAGCUCGACGCGCUCCUUUUGCUUCAAAGAGACUGAAUUUUGGUAUGUGGAGCAAGGAAGCAUGUCGGGAAAUUCAAGAUCGGGGUCAUUUCGAAAAAUUCCUCAGAGAAAAGACGAGAAAUAGUGGUUGCGUGAGCCCCGAAGGAUUCUUGGAAAAAGCCCGAAAGCAUUUGAACAAAAACGUGACUCUGCUAAUCAAAUCCACAAAGCAACAAUGGCCAUCAAUAGCAGCAUUUUAGCAGCAAUGUAAAUUCCUCAUACGUACAUCACUUCUCUUCCUCUGUCUCUUGCAGCAAGUAAUUUCUUGAAUCCCAAAUUUUCUUGGUUCGAUAAAAUAAAAUCAAAGCUGCAGAUGUUGGGUUAGAGCCGGAAGCACAAACAGUACGUAACUGGACAGGUCCCGUAAGCGAACUCAACGGGACAUAUGGGCCCAAUCGAUCUUUGUCACCGAUUAAAUAUAUCCAUAAUCAUGAGUUCCACAGCUUCACAAUGGGGAUAUUUUGCAUGCCACCGUCUUCCAUCAUUCCCCUUCAUAAUCAUCCCGGAGUGACUGUUUUUAGCAAGCUUCUGUAUGGAUCAAUGGAUGUAAAAGCAUAUGAUUGGCUUGAUGAACCCUCACCGUCUGAUACGUCACAAGGUAUCAUCUUUCUUGACUAUGACUUAUGACAAGUGGUGGAUAUAGGUUGCAAAUAUGGUGGGUCGACCCCUAAACGCUUUUUUUUUUAUCCAGUUUUUUGAUGUUUAUAAAAUUUGGUGUUUUAAAUAUGAUUAAAAAUGGGAACUUUGUCCAGAAACGUAAUCAAAGACCCAAAUAUAACAAUAUGAGGUAUAUACCUGGCAAAACUGGCGGGUCCGCUGCGUAAUGGAUCAAAAUGGGUCGUUUUAAAAAAUGGUCAUAAUCAUUCGAGUUAAAACGACAAGUUUUUUCUAAUAAUAGGAAUUCCCCCCCUUAAAAAACGUGUAUUAUUAAUUUAAUGUAAUUAUUAGUUUACUUUCUAUAGCAACUUUAAAUCACUAUAAUAAAACUAAAUUUAAUGUAAUUAUGUUUUUCAAAUUAAGGUACAAAAAUGAUUUUGCUCAGCAAGCAGAUGAAGCACAUUUUGCAAGCUUUAAUAAUCCACGUAAAAUAGAACAAUACUUUUGUCAGAUGUAAUGCAACAUAUGGCAAAAUACAAAAUACUUUUUUUUUGCUGGGUCCAAUUUAUACCAUAUUAAAAGAAAUAAACUGACUAAUUGAGGGUCAAAUUAGGUUAUUUUUGCGGCAAUUUCUAGAAAGAUCAUACUGUCAUACGUUAAUUCCCUACUAACUUUAGAUUAUGGGGAGUGGUGGCGUUGGUUGGGCGGGGGAAGCCAGCCAACGCUGGCUAAGCCACUCUGUGCCAGCGUUAGGCUUGGCGUUGCCCAGCCAACGUCGCUAUGGGGGCGGGGUGAGCUGGCUAGCCAGGAUUGAGUGAUUUUAUUUUAUAAAUCUCUCAACCAUUUAAAAAAAAUAAAGUCAGCCAACAUGGCUGCCCAACGCUGCUAACCCACGCCGCUUCUACACCCCACUUUUUUUGGGGUGGUCUGAUGGACCCCACUAUCGUCACGUGUUGAGCAAAGCCCCCAACCCAAGCCCCCCCACUCCCCGCAGUCUUAGGAAAAUAACAAAAGAAUACAAUUCUAAAUUCCCUCUUGAUCUGAUAUAAGAAACAAAGAUAUGUUGUAACUAAAACAUCAAAACCUCAUUGAUGAAGAUGAUGACGUUGACUGAAGUCUGUUUUGAUUCCAUAGCCGAUUGUUUUUCAAUCUCCUAAGUCACUCGCGCGCUUCCAAAUUCUAGAUCGUCAACACAGAUUGGUGUUCUACCAGUCCUGGGCUAACUCAGUGUUAACAUGUAUGUAAUUAUUUUGCGAAAAUGAGGCCCUAUUUUUUGGGUGGUUCUAGGCCCAAGCCUUACCUAUCUAUGUUGUUGGGUCGGCCCUGAGCAUACAGACCAAAAAUACUUUUAAGACAAUUAUAAAUAUGGUCAGAAGUUGGUAUGUACUUAACUACAGACUUGCCUUGAAGUGGUGACACAAUGGCUAUCUCAACGCCAUUCAGUUCGUGAAGUUCAGAUGUGGAACAUGAUGCACAUUCUAUACCUCCUAUUUUGAAGGGUCUCAACUUGCAUAUAUCAGAAAUCAAGGAGUUGUGUAGUGAAUUUCCGAAAACAGUAGUACUGCUUGAUCACUUAGCCUUUUGCAAACCUCCUAUGUGAGUAGCUUUGACUCAUUUUACUUAAAAAAUGGAUGUAUGUGGAUUGUGCUAUAUCUCUAACGGGUCAUAUGGAUUAACUAAUAAGAAAAUGGUUCAAAUGGAAGCAUAAUGAAGUUACUAGCCAAAGAGACCUUGCAACUAUAUCUUUGGGUGAUUUUGGAGCUGAUUACAUUGUAUAAUCUUCUGGCAUUUUUACGACGGUUAAUUUGAAGUUAAAAAGGUGGUGCCAAGAAGUUGGUGAUCUUAGCUCCAUAAACCGAUUCACCUAUGUUUGUCGUAGGAGUAAAGUAAAGAUGAGUCUUGAUCUCCUAAAGUGGAGAUUGCAAAAAAGAUGAGUCAGAUGUCCCUCUCCCUCUGACAAGUAUCUUCUCUUAAGCCAUUUAGCAAUGGCACCAAGUGUAAGAUAUAGGUUAAAUGGAAGGGAUUUUGCACUGUUAUAACUAGAUAUCCUCCCCAGGACAGGACUGCUGGAAUGUAUUUGGAAGCUGCACCUUUGUUCUUUUAAUAUAUGGAAUAAAGUAUUGUUGUAACUUUUUUGUUUACAUGAUUACAUUUUAUAAUAAUAUUUUAUUUUGGUGUUUA